UGAGGAAUAUUGGGCAAUGCCCGAAAGGGUGACCCAGCAACGCCGCGUGGAGGAUGAAGGUCGUAAGAUUGUAAACUCCUGUUAGAGGGGAAGAAUAACUAAGUUUGGAGCUUAGUAUGACUGUACCCUCAGAGAAAGCCCCGGCUAACUACGUGCCAGCAGCCGCGGUAAUACGUAGGGGGCAAGCGUUGUCCGGAUUUACUGGGUGUAAAGGGCGCGCAGGCGGAAUGGAAAGUCAGUGGUGAAAUCCUACAGCUUAACUGUAGAACUGCCUUUGAUACUUUCAUUCUUGAGUUCGGGAGAGAGUGACGGAAUUCCCGGUGUAGUGGUGAAAUACGUAGAUAUCUGGAAGAACACCAGUUGCGAAGGCGGUCUCUUGGUCCGAUACUGACGCUGAGGCGCGAAAGCGUGGGGAGCAAACA
rnacentral:rRNA from 1 species